GACACGUGGCCAAACUACCCUAUGGAUCAGAACAACCUCGGGAAACUGAGGCUAAUUCUGAAUAAAGCUCUUUGCCUGGAAUGGCUUGAGCUGGAAACGCUACGGCGCCAUAGGAUGUGGCUGCGGCCGAUUAGGUAGACGGUGAGGUAACGGCUCACCGUGCCCAUAAUCGGUACGGGUUGUGAGAGCAAGAGCCCGGAGACGGUAUCUGAGACAAGAUACCGGGCCCUACGGGGCGCAGCAGGCGCGAAAACUUUACACUGCACGACAGUGCGAUAAGGGAACUCCGAGUGCGAGGGCAUAUCGUCCUCGCUUUUCUGUACCGUAGGGAGGUACAAGAAUAAGGGCUGGGCAAGACCGGUGCCAGCCGCCGCGGUAACACCGGCAGCCCAAGUGAUGGCCGAUAUUAUUGGGCCUAAAGCGUCCGUAGCCAGCUGAACAGGUCCGUCGGGAAAUCUGCUCGCUCAACGAGCAGGCGUCCGGCGGAAACCAGUCAGCUUGGGACCAGAAGACCCGAGGGGUACGUCCGGGGUAGGAGUGAAAUCCUGUAAUCCUGGACGGACCACCGGUGGCGAAAGCGCCUCUGGAGAACGGAUCCGACAGUGAGGGACGAAAGCUAGGGUCUCGAACCGGAUUAGAUACCCGGGUAGUCCUAGCUGUAAACGAUGCUCGCUAGGUGUGGCGCAGGCUACGAGCCUGCGCUGUGCCGUAGGGAAGCCGUGAAGCGAGCCGCCUGGGAAGUACGUCUGCAAGGAUGAAACUUAAAGGAAUUGGCGGGGGAGC
rnacentral:rRNA from 1 species